UACGGAGGGUGCAAGCGUUAAUCGGAAUUACUGGGCGUAAAGCGCACGCAGGUGGCUGAGUCAGUCGAUUGUGAAAGCCCUGGGCUUAACCUGGGAAUUGCAGUCGAUACUACUCAGCUAGAGUAUGGGAGAGGGUAGUGGAAUUCCCGGUGUAGCGGUGAAAUGCGUAGAGAUCGGGAGGAACAUCAGUGGCGAAGGCGGCCUUCUGGACCAGUACUGACGCUGAGGCACGAAAGCGUGGGGAGCAAACAGG
rnacentral:rRNA from 1 species